rnacentral:tRNA from 1 species
GAGGGGAUAGCUCAGUGGCAGAGCACAUGCUUAGCAUGCACGAGGUCCUGGGUUCAAUCCCCAGUACUUCCA